GGCGGGGCUUGUCGGUAAACGGCUGGAGGUAAACAAAUUGACCCUUUCACCUGUUUGGCGCACAGACAGCGACCGAGAGCAGCGCGGAGAGGAGCCAGCACAUCCGAACAGCAGGUGGUGUAUAGAAAAGGUGCCAGGGCUUUGUGCAGAUACACCUGUGGGCUGAAAGGAUGGAAGAAGGUGAUCCAUGGCUGGAGAUGGAAGCUCCGGCUCCACGCGGCUACUGGCUGAAGCGAAAGCUGCGGCUUUACUUCGGGCCCCGACAAGCUACAAAAGACUCUGAUCAAGAGGACCACAGUGGCCACGACAUAUUUUGGACCAGAAAGCGGCUCGUGGUGGCUCUUCUCAUCAUCCUGGCCCUGGUUAUCAUGGGCCUUCUCCUUCUCUGGAACUACCAGUGCAUUGUAGUCUGGCACAUGUGCCAUGCACCUGAAGAAUACCCAGUCCUCGGCACCUUCAGAGCUGGAUGAGGUGCACUGAGAACACUGGAAAUGUGAACGAGUCGUGUAACGCUCACGUAUUCCUAACGCUUGUAGGCUGAAUGAAGGCAUAUGCAUGUUUAGUGUUUGUUGUUCUAGACGCCAUGGAACUCUCGUGAAGGAUCAACGUGUUGCUUGACGUUAACGCUUGAAAGUAGUGCUGGGCGAUACUGAUAAAAUCCGACAUUGUGAUAUUUUCAGAUGAUAUUUUAGAUUGCAUUAAUAAAGUCAAUAAGUUAGCAUUAAUGAAGAAACCUGAGCUGGAGCAGAGCAUAUUUCCACACUGGUAGGUGGGGGUGAACCACGAUGUUAGUGGUUAAUAUUAUUUUCCCCACCAGCUGCUACACGGAGAUGUAAUCAGAACUUUUAGGGACGUUUUAAAGCCCAUGUGUCAAACUCAAGGCCUCAGACUCAAAGACAGUCCUAUUUCCGCCCACAAACUUAUUUUAAUUUCCUAUUAUUAUCAGCCCGUUUCGCCCUGAGAUGCACUACAGUCCCCAGCAUGCACUGCAACGUAGUGUGCGUUCUGACUGCCUUCCCCCAACAAGAGUCUGUAGGCCAGGUGUUACAUAAAAAAGAUGCCUGGUGUUCUAGUUCAAGCAAAUAGGCCGUUUAAAAAUAUAUAUAUAUAUAUAUAUUUUUUAUUUCUAAUUAUUUUUAAUAAGUAUGCAAUGCCUAUUUUGCUAUUGUAGUUUUGGCAUAUUUGAAUAAACAAUGUCAUGUUCAGGUCAUGGUAACAUGUUAAGGAAAAAUAAAAACACAGCUGGCCCACAGAUUUGCUGAGAUUUUUAAAAUUUUAAUUAAAUCUUUUAGUGGUUGAAUUUGACACCCCUGUUUUAGAGGCAGGCAGAAGUCAGUAGACUUUGCUUAAGGAUUACAUAAUGACAAUUUUGUCUAUUAAAUAGUAUAAUGAUUUAAGUCAACUUAAUAUUCUUUUACUUUAUGUCCCUGGUCAUAUUAAGCACAAUGUAUUGUAUUAUAUGUCACAGCACAGACAGGAAAAUGCUUCAAUAUACUCAGAGAUAUGAACUAACAAGGUAAAAAAAGGUUGGUUUUGACUUCAGAUGGACUUUAAAAAUGAUGCCAAAUGUUAACCAGACAAGCACAUUUCCAGAAAAGAAAAAGCAGUUGGUAAAAGUGAACGAAGUAGCCUUUCUGAGUCCGGAGGAAAAAACAAAAGUAUGGUUUCCAUACCCUUAUUAAUAAUUUAAAAGUCAGAACGGAUUUAGCGGGAAUUCUUUGGACUGCAUUAUAAGUCUUGGCGUAUUAAUGUCACAUGCACAGGCUCAAAAAGAAGGUCCAGCUCCAUGUUUAGGUCUCAAAUGCAUCCUCAGAAACUACGUCCUUCACUAAGUUAUGACAGUUUGAAUUAUUUCACAAUCAUCAGAUUUAUGCAAAAUGUGAUGCUGUGUUGCAAGCAAUUACAUAUUUCCACCACAGAGGUCGCCAAAUCCCCUAAACGUCCAUAGUGCAGCUUUAAUUUCGAACUGCUCUGGAUUCCAUGAGUAAAAUACACAAAAUGGAUUUUAAAAAAUUCAACUUACUAACAUAGACAUUAGCUUUUAUGGCCACUGUAUCAUAGAUAUAUAAAUAACAUAUAAUACUUAUUAUCUAUCAAAUAUGUCACUAAAAUAUCACUCAAAAACGUCAGUCAGUAUCACAGCAAAUCGGUAUAGAUGGUCACCCAGCACUGCUUGAAAAAAAUGUAUGAUGCUGCUUACCUUUUUAUUUAAAAUGCUGAAGUCAAGUCAUUUAAGACAGCAUUUGACUGGAGUGCAACUAGUUGUUAAAAUGCCAAUAAGUCACUCAUUUUGGUUACUGAUGUGUAGGCCAUACUGAACACCCAUUAAUCGAAAUGCUCCUCAGGUUUGCCUUUACCAUGUGCCUUGUAUUAAAACUAGGAAAUAUAUUUAUGUACUGAAGCAUUAUAUUUAUAUAUCUGUGAGUAUCUUUGUAUUGUAAACAUAAAAAAGUGCAAUAAAAAGGAUAGAUUUAAAAAAUAAAUCAAUUUGAAGGUGAUCAUUGAUGUAAUGAAGUGUAAUGUAAUGAAUAAAUGAACUUAAAUGGCCUUUUAA